CCAAGCAAGAAAAAUGAAGGAAACUUGAAUCGAUUGGAUCCGACUACUAAGGUUAUAGGUGGUGUUAGACAACGUUGUUUGAAGCUUCUGCCACCUGAGGAGCUUGAACAUCUUGAUAUAUUGGAGCG